UGCUGAGCGGGUUUAGGUCAUGGGUCAGUGAACGCGAUGGAAACUAUCCUAUAGUGUAAAAGCAGCUGCAGAACGGACAGCCAAGAAGCAGGGAAUCAUUUCACUUCUUUACAGAUGGUAAGUUGUCCCUAAAGAAAUUCUGUUUAGCUCAAUAUUAAAUGUUACUAGGUUUUUACCAUAAAAUCUACCAUUAGAUGCACUAUGUCUCCUUAAGAGUGUCACUAGGUUGCUAUAAAUGAUUUUAUAAAAUAUAUCCACUAUAACUAAGAUAAAACCGAGCAGUAAAAGCAUAACCUAUCCCAGGGAUGGCAUAUAAUGCUGUUUGCAGUUUGUUCCCUGCCUCUCUGCACCCUAAAGCUCUCUUCGCUCAGCCAACAGCUCACAAUUCUGCCUGAUGGACCCCAGGUAAGAAGCCAGACCUUUAGCAAACGGUUAGACUAUGUACAUUGGUGGAGCGCCAGUUAACUCCCGGAACAGUGGUUAUGGUGCUUGGAGUGUUCCUUCAAAAAUGGCACUUUUUUUCCCCAACAUUUGUCCUAAUUAUUGCAGCUCUGCAUUCACUAUAGCUCAGUUACCACUUUACCAAGGUUCCAGCGCCGAUGUCACUUGGCGCUGGUUCGGGCUCUGCCUCUGCUUCUCCCCCACCAACGUCAUCCGGUGGCAGAGACCUAAUGCGCAUAAGUGCCAAUCACCAUGCUCGCAUUAAUAUUUCCCCCAUAGGAAAGGAUGUAUAAUGCUUUCCUAUGGGGUUUUUCAUGACUCUGGAAGUCCCCUAAUGCACAGCGUGAGGACAUCCAGCAUCAGUUAGGCGGAUAAUCACCCUAUAGUUGGUGUUUGGCAGAUUAAAAACUGCAAUAAUUAUCUUUGCAGGGUUAAUGGACCUGGGACUGUACACCAGACCACUUCAACGAGAUGACCUUCAAAGAGAUGUCCCUUUAAUACAUUGCAACAGGAUUCCUUUCGGAUACACUUUGCACUAUGUGACUUCUCUGCUUUUCUUGGUUGUCCUGAAC